rnacentral:rRNA from 1 species
GACGAACGCUGGCGGCGUGCUUAACACAUGCAAGUCGAACGAAGAGCGAUGGAAGCUUGCUUCUAUCAAUCUUAGUGGCGAACGGGUGAGUAACGCGUAAUCAACCUGCCCUUCAGAGGGGGACAACAGUUGGAAACGACUGCUAAUACCGCAUACGAUCUAAUCUCGGCAUCGAGGAUAGAUGAACGGUGGCCUCUACAUGUAAGCUAUCACUGAAGGAGGGGAUUGCGUCUGAUUAGCUAGUUGGAGGGGUAACGGCCCACCAAGGCGAUGAUCAGUAGCCGGUCUGAGAGGAUGAACGGCCACAUUGGGACUGAGACACGGCCCAGACUCCUACGGGAGGCAGCAGUGGGGAAUCUUCCGCAAUGGACGAAAGUCUGACGGAGCAACGCCGCGUGAGCGAUGACGGCCUUCGGGUUGUAAAGCUCUGUUAAUCGGGACGAAAGGCCUUCUUGCGAAUAGUGAGAAGGAUUGACGGUACCGGAAUAGAAAGCCACGGCUAACUACGUG